AUAGGCUUGAUAAUGAUCUAAUGCAUCAGCAAUUUGCUCUAGUUUACGUUUUGCCGACACGGAUGCAGCACCAAUUGCAGACCCUCUCAUGUCAUCAACACUAGAACCAGCACCAAUUACCUGGCUUUGGGAGAAAUGGAAUGAAGUGGCCGUUGCUUCAUGAGGAGAAAAGAAUUCAAGAUGAAAUUCAG